CGAGAAGUGUCACUAUAUUUGUUAAUUGCAGAACUGUAAACCAACUUUGAAUCGAAGAAAGGCGAUCCGCUAGAUUUUGAAAUGAAUUGAAGUUGUUGAAAGCCCGGAGAAGACAAUGUGGAGAAGUUCUACAAACUUCACCCA